GCCCAAGUAGCACAAUGGUAGUGCGUUGCUUUCCUAUCACCGGUGGGUUCUAUAGCAAGGCAAAGGUUGUGGGUUCGAUCCCCAUCUUGGGUU
rfam:Moniliophthora roreri MCA 2997 sctg_0379_0001, whole genome shotgun sequence.